AUUGAACGCUGGCGGCAUGCUUUACACAUGCAAGUCGAACGGUAACAGGUUAAGCUGACGAGUGGCGAACGGGUGAGUAAUGCAUCGGAACGUGCCCGGUCGUGGGGGAUAACGCAGCGAAAGCUGCGCUAAUACCGCAUACGAUCUGAGGAUGAAAGCGGGGGACCGUAAGGCCUCGCGCGAUCGGAGCGGCCGAUGUCAGAUUAGGUAGUUGGUGGGGUAAAGGCUCUCCAAGCCGACGAUCUGUAGCUGGUCUGAGAGGACGACCAGCCAAACUGGGACUGAGACACGGCCCAGACUCCUACGGGAGGCAGCAGUGGGGAAUUUUGGACAAUGGGCGCAAGCCUGAUCCAGCAAUGCCGCGUGCAGGAAGAAGGCCUUCGGGUUGUAAACUGCUUUUGUACGGAGCGAAAAGGCUCUCUCUAAUACAGGGGGCUCAUGACGGUACCGUAAGAAUAAGCACCGGCUAACUACGUGCCAGCAGCCGCAGUAAGAC
rnacentral:rRNA from 1 species